UGACCACGUUCUAGAAGCAAUGAUCCUCCUUCUGGCAUGGGGUCAGAGGUGGUACCUCCGUGUCACCAAGCUCAAGCUGUUCAUCUCCUCAUCUCACAUCAUCACAAGAAGAUUUGAACUCAUCUCCACCUUUAAGGACUCGAAGGUUCCGGAUCCCGCAUUAGACUCAGAGACUGCUGGGGCCCACACCUGCUUUCUCCAGCACCCACUACCUGUGAAGCUCGUUUAUCCCCCACAAAGGGCCUGUGUGGGAGCUGAUCACCUUUUUAAUGAGCUGGUUAUCUUCUCAGUUGGAUUAUUCCCUUUUAGAGCAGGAGCUGCCUCUUACCCCCAAAACAGGUGGUCUGAGCUUCUCUCCAUCCUCCCUCCCCUGCUAUGUUUGACUUUUUCCCUGAUCACACAUCUCCCGAUCACAUGUCUCACGGGCCCCGGGGUCCUGCUCAGCACUGCUGUUUGGAGACGGAUGCCUGCCUGACAGCCCAAGCCCAGGACCCCCUCUUCGGGCAUCUUAAUUAUUUUCUGAGACGGGCUUCCCAUGAAGUCUUCUACAAAAAUAUUUGAGUAAUUCUGAGUUAUCUGUUCUUCCAGAAAGAUUUGGGUUAAUUUAUCUUUCAGACAGAACAUUCCAGAGAGGGGGCGCCUGGGUGGCUCAGUAGGUUAAGCGUCCUGACUCUUGGCUUCAGCUCAGGUCAUGAUCUUAGGGUUGUGAGAUCGUGCCCCAAAUCAGGAUCAGCACUCAGUGGAGAGUCUGCUUUGGAAUUCUCUCUCUCCCUCUGCCCCCCUCUCUCUCAAAUAAAUAAAUAAAUCUUAAACACACACACACACACACAAUUAGCUCUCUCAAGGAACCAAUAAAUGAAUAGGCCAGGAUGGUACAGAGAGUAGAAUCUUCGGGGAGGGCUUAUCAGCAGGCUAAGGUCAACUGUAACAGACGGAACAGAAGCUCCUCAAGGGCAGGGACUUGGAGGCAGCUGUGUCUACUCAGGAAUCAAUACGUGGCACACAGUAGAUGCACACAGUAGAUCCAGAAAUACUUAUUGAGUGAAUGUGAGUUAUAAACACGCACAUUAAGUUUGAAACGCGAAACACCAAGUUUGAGUAGCUAUUGUUUUCAGUAGUCACUAGAUUCGUCGCCUUGACUGCCUCAGCCAUCACAAAGCACAUUUCAUUAAAAAAAAAAAAAAAAAAAAGAACAAAAAGGCAAAAAUAGAAGCAUAGAUGCGGAAGAGGGCUCCGAGGCGUGAAAGCGUCCAUGUGCGGUUUCUGUUCCGGAACCACACGUGCUCGAAAUGCCCUGCUUCCCACAGAGCGUGAAGGAAAGCUUGAACUCCAGGAUUCAGCACGUGGUUUUAGAUCCCUCAGCGAGGACGGGUCCCCCUGUGGUCUCAUCCCUGAACACCUUUGCCCCAGUUUCAUGACUCAGAAGCAGGUGACCGGACGUCAGUUACAGAAGUCUGUAUGUGUUUAAGGCCUUGAAAGGGAAAUAUGAGAAAUUUUUUCACAAGAUCCAUAGCACUCCCUGGCUUGAUUUUACUCAGAUAACGCCACCUCCCGCCCCCAGGCCCCAAACCUGGUGAAUGUUAGAAAACAAAUGACCUCUGCCUUGGACCUCAGACUUCUGAUUUCCCCUCACCAAGGAGCCAAAAGUGCAAAGGAAAAAGCAGAUUUUCUCUUAGCCAAAGAAAGCCUCUCCUGGUGCUGCUCUUAACCCCGUACCUUGGCUUCCUCCAGGCUCUCCUCUUGGGGCUUAGAGGGUAAGUGGCUCUUCCUACCCGACACCAGGGAAGACUCCGAGCUCUUCCAGCAGACCCCAGCCUUCAGGAAGUCCCUCCCUGUGCCUGACUUAAAUCUUUCUUGGCCGAGAACCCCAGCUCCCGCUUGCCCUGUCAUCUCUGGAGAAGGGGGCAACAGCUGCUCACUGCUCUCCUUUUAAUCAUCCUUAAUGGGCUCGUAAACAGUUACGAGAUCCCCCUUCAGCCUUCUCUGAGCCUCAUUUUACUUGCAUUGAGGCUGAGAGCUUCUGAGGAAGGCAUUCUGCUCAGAGCUCCCCAGACUUGUGGAGUCUUAAAUGGGUAAUCAGCCUCUUCACCCACUUUAACCUCCGCAAAUGAACAGCUCUGCCUCCUUUUGCGAAAUUUAAAUCUAUUCAGGGGAGUUCCCUGGCAACCAACCCUUAUUAAUAAAUCACGCCUGCUCUAGGCCAGGACAGGGCAUUUUUUAAAAUGUUUCUCUCUCUUGGGAAGUCACACUGAUGCGCAAGCACACAGUAGAUGCACAGCUGCUCCCUCGAGGUUCUGCAUUUGCGGGAUUGUGGGCCUGGGGAGGUCGUAUCUGGCUCCCCAGCUGAGAAGGGUGUGUGUUGCUCUAGUAGACUCUCGCCUGGGCCUUUCUUGUGGUUAUUGGACUAGGAGCAUAGCAGCAGGCGGGGGGCAGCAGGACAUAGAGUUAUGGCAAGACCUGCUCAGCCUCCACUAGGCACAUCCUGGAAAGUUCCACUUUCUGUUCCAUCCGGCUAUGGUUCAUGCCCACUGGGGAAAGUCCCAGUUGUAUGGUUGGUUUGAGCUUCCCAUUGUGUCUCCACUUUGGGUCCUGUGGUUCCCUCCAAUGGCAGGAGGUAGGGGAGGAACAGGGCAGGGAGGUGGGACGGUGAGCAUUGCUUCAGCUUUGAGAAAGAGUGAUUUCAUUUCAAGAGAACUUUUAACCAGGAUGGCUAAGAUGAAAAGGACUGAUAACACCAAGUGUGGGCAAGGGAAAUACAGCCAUCAGAACUCUCAGUCAUUGCUGAGGGAAGCGUACAUCAGAGCCACCCACUUUGGGAUUCUGGGCCAAUUCCAGCAACAGCUCUGACAAUUCCACUUCUAGGAAUAUGCUCAGAAGGAACAGGGGUUUACGAGCUGUGAAAAAUGUGCACAAGAAAGUUCAUAACGAUGGGAUUUAUAAGAGUCAAAUAGCAGAAGCUGCCACCCAAGUGCAGAAUGGAUAAAUAAACCAAGGCAUGGUCCUGCCAUGAAAGAGGACACACGGUGGAGAGAACUGAAUGACUAAUCUACAGUGUCACGUGGGUGAUUC
rnacentral:lncRNA from 1 species